UAUCAAUAAGCGGAGGAAAAGAAACCAACAGGGAUUGCCCUAGUAACGGCGAGUGAAGCGGCAACAGCUCAAAUUUGAAAUCUGGCGCAAGCCCGAAUUGUAAUUUGUAGAGGAUGCUUCUGGGUAGCGGCCGGUCUAAGUUCCUUGGAACAGGACGUCACAGAGGGUGAGAAUCCCGUAUGUGAUCGGCCCGCGCCCUCUACGUAGCUCCUUCGACGAGUCGAGUUGUUUGGGAAUGCAGCUCUAAAUGGGAGGUAAAUUUCUUCUAAAGCUAAAUACCGGCCAGAGACCGAUAGCGCACAAGUAGAGUGAUCGAAAGAUGAAAAGCACUUUGGAAAGAGAGUUAAACAGCACGUGAAAUUGUUGAAAGGGAAGCGCUUGCAACCAGACUUGUCCGCGGUGUUCCGCCGGUCUUCUGACCGGUCUACUCGCCGCGGGCAGGCCAUCAUCGUCUGGGGCCGCCGGAGAAACCGUCAGGAAUGUAGCUCCCUCGGGAGUGUUAUAGCCUGGCGACAUGCGGCGCGCCCCGGGCGAGGUCCGCGCACUGCAAGGAUGAUGGCGUAAUGGUUGUCAGCGGCCCGUCUUGAAACACGGACCAAGGAGUCUAACAUCUAUGCGAGUGUUCGGGUGUCAAACCCCUACGCGCAAUGAAAGUGAACGGAGGUGGGAGCUUCGGCGCACCAUCGACCGAUCCUGAUGUCCUCGGAUGGAUUUGAGUAAGAGCAUAGCUGUUGGGACCCGAAAGAUGGUGAACUAUGCCUGAAUAGGGUGAAGCCAGAGGAAACUCUGGUGGAGGCUCGCAGCGGUUCUGACGUGCAAAUCGAUCGUCAAAUUU
rnacentral:rRNA from 1 species